GCUCAGUUGGUUAAGCAUCCAACUCUUGGUUUCGGCCCAGGUCAUGAUCUCACGGUUCGUGGGUUCGAGUCCCACGUUGGGCU
rnacentral:tRNA from 1 species